rnacentral:sRNA from 1 species
ACUUUUGUUGAGUGGGAUGACCAUGAUAAUACCUCACAGAGUCCUACGUUUGUAGCCAUGGCUGACAACGUUGUUGUCAAAUCCAUGAGCUUUAGGAAUUCAUACAACAACCCAAUAAACAGUAAAGCCAUUAAGCCUGCUGUGGCAGCAAUGGUGAGUGGAGACAAGUCUUACUUUUUGAGAGUUGGUUUCUUCGGUUUGCAAGACACUUUAUGGGACGACAGAGGAAGACAUUACUACAAGCUUUGCACCAUUCAAGGUGCCAUUGAUUUUAUCUUCGGUGCAGGCCAAUCAUUAUUUGAGGUAACAAUAAU